rnacentral:rRNA from 1 species
CGGAUUUACUGGCGUAAAAGGGCGUGUAGGCGGUUUUCUAAGUCCGGGGCUAAAGACCAGGGCUCAACCCUGGGUUUGCCUUGGAUACUGGAAAGCUCGACGGCUGGAGGGGGCAGCGGAAUUUCCGGAGUAGCGGUGAAAUGCGCAGAUACCGGAAGGAACGCCAAUAGCGAAGGCAGCUGCCUGGACAGUACGUGACGCUGAGGCGCGAAAGCGUGGGGAGCAAACCGGAUUAGAUACCCGGGUAGUCCACGCCCUAAACGAUGAGUGCUGGGUGUCCGGCGUUUGCCGGGUGCCGAAGCUAACGCGUUAAGCACUCCGCCUGGGAAGUACGGUCGCAAGACUGAAACUCAAAGGAAUUGACGGGGGCCCGCACAAGCGGUGGAGCAUGUGGUUUAAUUCGAAGGAACGCGAAGAACCUUACCAGGCCUUGACAUCCUAGGAACCCUGAUGAAAGUCGGGGGUGCCCGCAAGGGAACCUAGAGACAGGUGCUGCAUGGCUGUCGUCAGCUCGUGUCGUGAGAUGUUGGGUUAAGUCCCGCAACGAGCGCAACCCUUGUCCUUAGUUGCUAACGGGUAAGCCGAGCUCUCUAGGGAGACUGCCCGCGAAAGCGGGAGGAAGGCGGGGAUGACGUCUAGUCCGCAUGGCCCUUACGGCCUGGGCGACACACGUGCUACAAUGCCCGGCACAGAGCGCUGCCACAUCGCAAGAUGGAGCUAAUCGCCUAAAUCCGGGCUCAGUUCGGAUUGGGGUCUGCAACCCGACCCCAUGAAGCUGGAAUCGCUAGUAAUCGCGGAUCAGCCAUGCCGCGGUGAAUACGUUCCCGGGCCUUGUACACACCGCCCGUCACGCCAUGGGAGUGGGUUUCACCUGAAGUCGCUGGGAGCCGCAGGCAGGCGCCGAGGGUGGGGCUCA